AUUGAACGCUGGCGGAAUGCUUUACACAUGCAAGUCGAACGGCAGCACGGACUUCGGUCUGGUGGCGAGUGGCGAACGGGUGAGUAAUGUAUCGGAACGUGCCCAGUCGUGGGGGAUAACGUAGUGAAAAUUACGCUAAUACCGCAUACGAUCUAUGGAUGAAAGCGGGGGAUCGCAAGACCUCGCGCGAUUGGAGCGGCCGAUAUCAGAUUAGGUAGUUGGUGGGGUAAAGGCCCACCAAGCCAACUAUCUGUAGCUGGUCUGAGAGGACGACCAGCCACACUGGAACUGAGACACGGGCCAGACUCCUACGGGAGGCAGCAGUGGGGAAGUUUGGACAAUGGGCGAAAGCCUGAUCCAGCCAUGCCGCGAGCAGGAUGAAGGCCCUCGGGUUGUAAACUGCUUUUGUACAGAACGAAAAGGUUUCUACUAAUACUAGGAGCUCAUGACGGUACUGUAAGAAUAAGCACCGGCUAACUACGUGCCAGCCGCCGCAGUAA
rnacentral:rRNA from 1 species